GCGUAUGAAAGACAUCUAUGACAAAGGUCAUCGUGAAUUAUCUUUCUCUCCUAGCUCUUUUGCUUGGCUUCGCCUGCAACCAUAUCGUCAAGUAUAUUGGAGCUAAAAGAUCUACCAAAUUGGGACCUCGGUUCUAUGGUCCUUUUAGAGUUUUACGUGCUGUGGGUUCCGUUGCUUAUCAGUUAGAAUUACCCCUUGGAUAGUAAAAUCCAAGAUGUGUUUCAUGUGCACUUACUUAGGGCAUUUAAAG
rnacentral:misc_RNA from 1 species